rnacentral:rRNA from 1 species
UUGAAAGGGAAACGAUUGAAGUCAGUCGUACCAGCGGGAAAUCAACCUUUCGAGUGGGGUUUUGGAGUUUUUUGAAGAGUGUCAAAACCUUCAUUUCAAAAUAUUCGCUCUUUUGGUGUACUUUCUCGUGGGUAGGUUAACAUCGAUUUUGAUCAUCAUAAAAAGAUUGGAGGAAUGUAGCUUCGAUCUUGUAUUGAAGUGUUACAGCCUUUGGUAAAUGUGAUGAUUAGGAUCGAGGAUUGCAACGAAUACCCUUUUGGGCUAUCCGCCUGAUCUCUGAUACGUGGCCUUAGUAUCGAAAGCGUGCUUAUGGUAUUGAGGUAUUACGGUCAAAAGGUUAGAACGGAUUACAUUCGUUAAGGAUGUUGACGUA